GCUCCGUUCGUCUAGCCCGGUCAAGGAUACUGGCCUUUCAAGCCGGCGGCACGGGUUCAAAUCCCGUACGGAGCA
rfam:Archaeon GW2011_AR5 QT00_C0002, whole genome shotgun sequence.